GGGGUCUUAACUGAGGCUCAAAAGGUUGGCACAAGCUGGAUGACUUAUUGAAAAUGUUACUGUUUUGGACAGCAAUGAGAAGGCAGCUCUUUUUCAUUUUUUAUAGCUCUUUUAACACACUGUUGCACACAUGCAAAAACACACACUUGCUCACACAUAAAAAGAGUGAGAGAGGGUGAGAUGUUGGAUCAAACAGACUCAUUUGGCCUUGAUACUAAAGAGUCCUCUUAUCUUAAAACAGCCAUUUAGUGUUAAUUAAUCCUUUUGACUGAAACCUCCCCCUACAACACAUUCUCUUUGGUUGUUAGGCUUUUAUGCUUAAAGUGCUCACACCACCUCAGAAAGCCAAAUUGGGAAAAAAAAAAAAAAUCCCAAAAUCUGAUUGGACCACCACUGCCUUUCCUCUCUGUAUCCAUCUGGAACACAGAUUAGUUUUUAUGUCGUUUUGCUUUCAAACUUAAAUGAAAUAAUAUAUCAGUGAUGAAGGGAAUUGUGCACUUUCUCUUCAACUUUGCAGCAUUAUACUUUAAGCUGCCAAGCUGUAAACCUUUAAGGUAGUUAUACCACAGACAAACACAUAAAUAGCCAACAGAAUUAAGUUUUCUCUGUUGGAACAGCAGUUUAUCUACAGCUGAGAAGAAGAAGUUGGACAAGUUCAUUAGGAAGUCCAGCUCUGUCCUAGGAUGCCCCCUCACCCCAGUGCAGGUGGUUGGAGACAGAAGAACUUUGGCAAAAGUGACAUCACUUGUGGACAGUGUCUCCCACCCCUGGCAUGAUGCUGUAGAAGAACUCCAGAGCCCCUUUCAACAACAGACUGCUGGAUCCUAGGUGCACAAAGCUUUAUCGCAGGUCCUUCUUCCCAGCAGCUGUUAGGCUUUAUAACCAUCACCACUCCCAACAAACACAAUAAGUCGUUUAUAGUAUAGUAAUAUUAGUUGUUUAUGUCCCUGCUCUUAUUUGUACAGUUUUUCCAUUUUCUGUUUGUAAUAAUUUUUUACAUUUUUAAUAACUUAACAAUUGUACAGUAUUGUUUUUAUUUUUUUUUAAUCCGCAUGCUCCAACUGUCUGUCACUUUCCUCCUGGAACAUCUGAAUUUCCCCAAUGAGGGACAAUAAAGGUAAUUUCUAUUCUAUUCUAUUUCCUGGCAGUGCUACUUCCUUGCUGAAAGCACAAACUGCUCUUCAAUAGGUUUCUCUUGCUCUUUCUGUUUUUUGCUUUUGAUACUGUUCACCACACCACCCUGUCUGAAAGGCAGUCUUUCUUUUGUCAUUUAGCUUUUUCUUCUAUAAUUGUCAUUGCAGCUUUCAUCAAACCCAUGCGAUCCUUAUUGCUUUGACUUAAUGUUCUGAUGGCCAGCUGGUAAGUUGUUAGACCACUGUUGUUGUCAUGAUAAAAAGAAAUAUUCAGCAGUCAAUACCCAGAAAAAAACUUACCUUAGCAUUUUUUUUUUCAAUAUCACACAGUUUGCACUUAUCAUCCCUCAAAAAAUACAGCUUUGAGUUUU
ensembl:lncRNA